AUCUAGUUGACGAGUCCCAAAUAAGAUGGUACGCGCAUCCUAGAU
rnacentral:hammerhead_ribozyme from 1 species